AGCUGUUUGUAAGAACUCAGUUUGCUACACUGACAAGAGAGCCACAUGAGACUUCCAUUAGGACUAACAUUAGAUGCAACCACAAGGUCGAGGGACGAGGCUACUUCUGGACUCUGCUCCUUCUUGAUGAGUCAAGACCGUUGGCCCCACUGGCUGCUGGGAGCUGGUGGCCAACAAAAUCUGGAGGGCCACAGGUGUUCCCCACCCCGUGACAAAGAAUACAAAAAGAGGCGAGAUUUGAACUGCGCGGCUUUCCAGGCUGCCGGUCAGAGGGGCACUCGAACCAGUAACCAGGUUCCCUCCCGCAUGCUGAGCUGCUGCUCCCAGUCUCUUUCCCAACUUACUGAUCUGCACCUCGAUGGCAUGGACCAGGUGGAUGUCGUACUGCGUCACCAGAGUGAUGGCGAUGCCAUUUCGACCUGGGAAGGAUGACAGAAGGGGGCGUGUGAACAGGACAGUUCCCCUCCCCACUGGGGACCCCCAAUAUCAAGCUGCAACUGUAACAUUUCUGGCGUUACUUCUGGACGUUACUUGGGGGGGAAGUCGUCUGCUGCUGUGAUUGGUGGAUGAAAGACAUGUGCCUCACACUGGGCUUCUGCGCAGCAUCACUCUUCCCUCGUGCUCUGUGUUAGGAGGGCACGAGGGAGGAGGGAAGAGAGAAGAAAAUUGCUUCAAGAAUGGACGGUGGUGGAGGAGAAAGGAGUGGAGGGAGAAAGCCAGUGGGCACGGAUGAAGGAAGAGGAGGCAGCAGCAGAAUGGAGGUGAAGAGCUCUCUCUUGCGCUCGCGUGCUGUGUGUGUGUUAGGGUUACCAGACCUUUCCAGCUUUCAGGGGUGAUCUCCGGACUCACUUUGGAUGCCACUCACCCUCCCCCUGCCUGCUAGCACACUGGCCCUCUCACCCACCCCGCUCUCUUGCCCCCACUCGCUCCCUCGUCUCCUGCUUUCUCCUGUUGUAUGGAUCUCCAUCUUUCCCACCACCCUUCCUCUUCUUUGGGCCUCUUAGGAAGAAAGCCCUCUGCAGAAGGCCACAUGGAUUUUUGCAUUCUUCCCUGUCCCAUCACUGUGUUCUGAUUUUUUUUUUUUUAAAAAAGAAAGAUUCUCUUCCCCCACUUCACAGUCCUUCUCCUUCUGUCACACACACACCCCUUUUCGGGAGCAUUCACAACCCAACCCAACAAGUUUGCUCUGUGUUUAGAUUCUUGAAUUAAACAGUCUUUUGUCAAGAUGUUUAAUGUAUUUAACACUGGAGACUGGGGGGGGGAGCUCCCCACGAGCUGCACUUAUACAGGGACAAGUACAAAAGCAAAUUUGCCGUAGAGCCCAUGCCUGAGGUUUUGCUGCUCUGUUGACAAUGACUGCGUGCGCACUUGUUUAGCCUUGUGGUGGUGGUCUUUCUCUCGCUUUCCCCCCGUCCUAAGGCGUUGGGCAGAGAGCAUCAGCUCCAAUGUACUGAACUUGAGAAGAUAUACCAGAGAGCCUUCGGGCUUAGGGCGGUAUAUAAAUUAAACUAAAUAAUAAUAAUAAAUAAAUAUAAUGGUGCUGAAAGGUCCAGUAUUCCAUUUCAGUUCUGCUAAGUGCAUGCAGGGCAAGGGUGGGAAUGAUUCUGGGCCUGAGGGCUCUA